CUCUAUGGCCGUACCACCCUGAAUGCACCCGAUCACGUCUGAUCUCAGAAGCUAAGCAGGGUUGGACGUGGUUAGUACUUAGAUGGGAGACCAAACAGCUGUUCUACAGAUA
ensembl:rRNA 5S_rRNA 5S ribosomal RNA